rnacentral:rRNA from 1 species
UACAGAGGGGGCAAGCGUUAUUCGGAAUUAUUGGGCGUAAAGGGCGCGUAGGCGGCUUGGCAAGUGGAAGGUGAAAUCCCUCGGCUUAACCGAGGAACUGCCCUCCAAACUGCUUCGCUUGAGACCGGGAGAGGUGAGUGGAAUUCCCAGUGUAGCGGUGAAAUGCGUAGAUAUUGGGAAGAACACCAGUGGCGAAGGCGGCUAACUGGUCCAGCACUGACGCUGAGGUGCGAAAGCGUGGGGAGCAAACAGG